GUCGAGCAUUUGCAGAAGCAAACCGGUCGAAGGCCUUAGACUCCUGAACCGGGUUCUAACUACAUCGACGCCGUAUAUCCACCGGUCAGACCGUUCCAUCGCCACCGUAGCUUUCGAAGAAGUCCGAUCUUCGCCGGAUAAACCUUACGAUUUCACAGCUUUUAUAUUCCACGGCCUCUUAGGUUCCGGUCGAAAUUGGCGAUCCUUCUCUCGUUCUCUAGGUUCCUCCCUUUCUGCAGAUGGUGUAAAUUGGAGGAUGGUUCUUGUGGAUUUGCGGAAUCAUGGGAAUUCAGCUAAAAUUGAAGGCUUUGUGCCACCACAUGAUAUGGAAAAUGCUGCAAAAGAUGUAGCUAAUUUGGUGAAUUCAA
rnacentral:misc_RNA from 1 species